UACGAAGGGGGCUAGCGUUGCUCGGAAUUACUGGGCGUAAAGCGCACGUAGGCGGCUUCUUAAGUCGGUGGUGAAAUCCUGGAGCUCAACUCCAGAACUGCCUUCGAUACUGGGAAGCUCGAGUCCGGGAGAGGUGAGUGGAACUCCUAGUGUAGAGGUGGAAUUCGUAGAUAUUAGGAAGAACACCAGUGGCGAAGGCGGCUCACUGGUCCGGUACUGGACGCUGAGG
rnacentral:rRNA from 1 species